rnacentral:rRNA from 1 species
AUGGCUUGGGAGCCGGUGAUCGGGAAGCUCAGCGUCCGCGUCGUCCGAGGCCACAACCUCAUCGUCGCCGACCCACUCACCCACACCAGCGACCCCUACGUCGUCCUCUACUACGGCUCCCAGGUGAAGACUAGCGUCCAGAAGAAAAAUGUCAAUCCUCUAUGGAAUGACGUAUUGGUGCUCCCUGUCACAGAUCUUACAAAGCCAGUCAAACUUGAGGUUUUUGACGCGGACACAUUCACGGCGGAUGACAGCAUGGGAGUGGCCGAGUUCAGCGUAACCGAUAUCUACGACGCCGCGAAGCUGGAUCUAAAGCAUGCCUCUGACGGAACCAGGAUCAAGACGAUCUACCCGGUCGGCACAAACUACCUUGGCGGUGAGAGCCACGUGUCGUGGAAGAAUGGCAAGGUCGUCCAGGACCUGAUUCUGAAGCUGAAGAAUGUCGACAGUGGCUCUGUCGUGCUGCAGCUGGAAUGGGUUCACGUCGUCCCUGGUGUUACGCUUUAA